GAUGAACGCUAGCUACAGGCUUAACACAUGCAAGUCGAGGGGAAACGGCAUUAAGUGCUUGCACUUUUUGGACGUCGACCGGUGCACGGGUGAGUAACGCGUAUCCAACCUUCCCAUGACUAAGGGAUAACCUGCCGAAAGGCAGACUAAUACCUUAUGGUCUUCACUGACGGCAUCAGAUGUGAAGUAAAGAUUUAUCGGUUAUGGAUGGGGAUGCGUCUGAUUAGCUUGUUGGCGGGGUAACGGCCCACCAAGGCAACGAUCAGUAGGGGUUCUGAGAGGAAGGUCCCCCACAUUGGAACUGAGACACGGUCCAAACUCCUACGGGAGGCAGCAGUGAGGAAUAUUGGUAAAUGGGCGAGAGCCUGAACCAGCCAAGUAGCGUGCAGGAUGACGGCCCUAUGGGUUGUAAACUGCUUUUGUAUGGGGAUAAAGUCAAUCACGUGUGAUUGUUUGCAGGUACCAUACGAAUAAGGACCGGCUAAUUCCGUG
rnacentral:rRNA from 1 species